AUGACAACUUGACAGUAACCAAGAAAUCAUGAUCUGACAUAAAUUUGAUAUAAAAGUAUUACCGAUUAAAUUUAAAAAUUAUGAAGCUUUAUGUGGUAAUAUUAUAUUGCUCUGCCAUUUUGUUUAGUCUUAAAUUUCUUAAUUUAAUUGAUCCUAAAGUUUUACAGCAAGAUGUCUACAAAGCACUUAUGAACUUUGCAUUUGAAACAUUCUUUAAGGCUUUUUUAAGUAGUGCAAUAAACCAUCUCCACCAGUGAGAGGCAGCAGUGCACGAACAGGAGUGCAGUGUGUUGGUGAAGAAGAAAUCUUCCAUCUUGUGGGGCCAACCUAACACAAGUUAUAACAUUAUAACAGCCAGACCUCCUGUUUACAAAGAAGCUGAAGUUUGUCACCUAAUAUACAGUAUAUGAGGGGGCCGGACCAAAUGUGGAGGCGGGCCGCAUCUGGCCCGCGGGCCGUAGUUUGGGGACCACUGGUGUGGAGGAUGAUAAUGAGGACCAGGCACCAGAGAAAGGAGUCAUUGUUUGACCAAAGAGAAAGAAGCAGAUGAAAUAUUCCCCAAGAAAAUUAGGUGACCACAAUGAAUUGAAUCAUCACCCACUAUGAGAUUGUCCAGAAGAGAUUCACCAAGUUAGAAUUCAUGAAAAGGCUUUCACCAUGAUUAACAUUGACCACGAUUACUGCAAGAACAGCUAUAAUUUCUGAGCAUUCUGGACACCUUCAAAGAACUGCUUCCAGGAAAUGAAGACAACAAGAAGAUCUCCCUGUUUUCAGAGCAUUACAGGAAGGCUAUAACGAAGUAGAUGGUUGACUGUUGAAAGAACCUAUUUUCUUAAGUUAAAGAAUAAGUAAUUCUGUUUUAGUUUUUCAAUCAGUGUUUCAGAGUUACAAUAUACUGACCAGAAGUUAAACCUUCUGUUUGAAGAACAAGUUUUAUUCCAAUGCACAAAGGGUUUGUUCUACAAGUAUGAUGGUAGUUAUAAGUAGUUCAGUGUGUCACACUUCACCUGAGGUAAGACUUAAUAUCAAUGACUUUGUUAGCAUAUCAUUUGACACUAAUAACACUGAAUGACAUCUUUAUAGUUGUUGCUACUAGUUUCACUUUACUUGAGGUAAGAGAUAAUAUUAAUGACUGUUAAUAUAGUAUUUGACACUGUAAUAACACUUAAUGACAUCUUCAUAACUGUUGCUACUUGUUCUACUUGAUGUAAAAGGGAUUAUUAAUGACUUUGUUAUUAAAUCAAUUUACAGUGUAAUAAAACUUAAUGAAAUCUUUA